UUCCAGACUCCUACGGGAGGCAGCAGUGGGGGAUAUUGCACAAUGGGGGAAAACCUGAUGCAGCGACGCCGCGUGAGUGAAGAAGUAUUUCGGUAUGUAAAGCUCUAUCAGCAGGGACGAAAAUGACGGUACCUGAGUAAGAAGCCCCGGCUAACUACGUGCCAGCAGCCGCGGUAAUACGUAGGGGGCAAGCGUUAUCCGGAUUUAUUGGGUUUAAAGGGUGCGUAGGCGGAAUGCCAAGUCAGUGGUAAAAUCGCGGGGCUCAACCUCGCGCCGCCGUUGAAACUGGCGUUCUUGAGUGGGCGAGAAGUAUGCGGAAUGCGUGGUGUAGCGGUGAAAUGCAUAGAUAUC
rnacentral:rRNA from 1 species